ACUCCAUUUCAGUUCAGUUCAUUCUUUGUCCCAAAGCGCAAUUUGUAUUCAGCAGGAAUAUGAAGAAUAUACAAAACAAACCACACAACAGUUAACAGAAGUGUGAAGAGAACAGGAAGAGGAAACUGAAGGCUGAGGCAGGGUGAGAGGUGGAGCUGUGACUCAUCAGAAAAAACCAACUCACCUGAGUUGUUCUCUGUCAACUCUUUGGACUGUUUGAAGAAACUACACAAAGGUUUCAGUGGACACACACGAUAAGAUGUCUCGGUGUCCCAGAGGUCUUCCAGGCCGAGCUGCAGCGUGAGAAACCCUCCAAUCAGAGCAGUCAAACUGACUUCAGAUCAGAAGAUGAGUGAUUUGGAGGAAGAGGAGGACGGAGCAGAGUCUGUAGUAUCUGGCUGUCAGUCUAU